rnacentral:rRNA from 1 species
UGGCGGCGGCUACACAUGCGUGCAAGCGCGCCUUCGGGUGAGCGGCGGACGGGUUAGUAACGCGUGGGAACGUGCCCUUCUCUACGGAAUAGCCUCUGGAAACGGAGAGUAAUACCGUAUACGCCCUUUGGGGGAAAGAUUUAUCGGAGAAGGAUCGGCCCGCGUUAGAUUAGGUAGUUGGUGGGGUAACGGCCUACCAAGCCUACGAUCUAUAGCUGGUUUUAGAGGAUGAUCAGCAACACUGGGACUGAGACACGGCCCAGACUCCUACGGGAGGCAGCAGUGGGGAAUCUUAGACAAUGGGGGCAACCCUGAUCUAGCCAUGCCGCGUGAGUGAUGAAGGCCUUAGGGUCGUAAAGCUCUUUCGCCUGUGAUGAUAAUGACAGUAGCAGGUAAAGAAACCCCGGCUAACUCCGUGCCAGCAGCCGCGGUAAUACGGAGGGGGUUAGCGUUGUUCGGAAUUACUGGGCGUAAAGCGCGCGUAGGCGGAUUAGAAAGUUGGGGGUGAAAUCCCGGGGCUCAUCCCCGGAAACUGACUCCAAAACUGCUAGUCUAGAGUUCGAGAGAGGUGAGUGGAAUUCCGAGUGUAGAGGUGACAUUCGUAGAUAUUCGGAGGAACACAGUGGCGAAGCGGCUCACUGGCUCGAUACUGACCUGAGUGCGAAGUGUGGGGAGCAACCAGAUU